rnacentral:lncRNA from 1 species
GAGUGGAAAAGCUUGAUAUAAGAUUUGUAAAAUAUGUUUGUAAUAAUGCUAAUGGAAGAGGUGAGAGUUGGGUGGGGUGCGGUGUAGAUGGGAACAUGGUUUGGGGAUUGGGGAAAGGGAAGUCAUGCUGUAAAUAAAAUAGUGAGGCAUGUUGUAUAAAGUGUGUUUUAUGUCUCAAUUGAAAUGUUAUAGGGAGAAAUUUAAAAUAGAUCAUGAUUGGUUUUGAAUCUGAUUUCUAAUUUUAAAAUGUUAUGAGCUUUUGUUGCUUUCCUAUUUCAUACACAUUUCUUUAUGGGUUUCACUUAGACUGCAUGAAAUUGCAGAUGCCAAUUACCUUUCA